rnacentral:lncRNA from 1 species
CAAAUAUCAAGCGACAGUCCUGUCCUAGGGAGUCCAUAGUCACCUGGGCUCUUGAAGCAGGAGCCUGCCCGGGUGGCUACCGAGCCCUCGGACCAGAUACACCUGAAGCCCCCUGGCCGCCCCCCAGCUGGGAAAGGUAAUCCCAGGGUAGAUUGGCCCAGAAGCAUUUUUGGCACAUUGCUUCUCAAACAAUUGCCAGAGGGGAUACUUUAGAGGACCGGUCUCAGAAUUGUUCCCUUACCAAAUGGAACUCCCUCCCUAGCUGUGGUGAUUGGUUGGAGUUGGAUGCCUAGUUUAAGUCCACAGAGAGACUAUAACCCUCGCUGGGCGGAGACACCUUCUCCGGGGUUUUCUAACUGGUGCUAUGGAAACAGAACCUCUCGUCUCUGAGAGCUGUGAAGCCAGGAGUGCAGCGCUGACCUGCUCAUGGGUCUUAUCUCAGGAAGGGUCCUGGUCACAGGGAGUGCACGCUGCCCACUGCUGGAGGAAAACAGAGGACCAACAAGGGCUUCUGAUCCCUAGAGCCAGCUGAUGCUAAACCAGCCCCGCCCUGACCCUCCCUGCAGCUUGGUUAGUCUGCCCUGUGCCUCACCACCUUGG